UACAGAGGGUGCAAGCGUUGUUCGGAUUCAUUGGGCGUAAAGGGUGUGUAGGUGGCGCGCUAAGUCGGGUGUGAAAUUUCGGAGCUUAACUCCGAAACUGCAUUCGAUACUGGCGUGCUUGAGGACUGGAGAGGAGACUGGAAUUCAUGGUGUAGCAGUGAAAUGCGUAGAGAUCAUGAGGAAGACCAGUGGCGAAGGCGGGUCUCUGGACAGUUCCUGACACUGAGACACGAAGGCCAGGGGAGCAAACGGG
rnacentral:rRNA from 1 species